UUUUUGGCCAAGGUAGUGACGCGUUGUACCUUGUGUGGUGUGCAGGUGUAUGGGAUUACAUUUAUCUUCUAAAGCUUAGUUGUGACAAAAAUAAAGUGGAUUACCUAAGCCUUAGUGGGAAGCUGUUACCAGGAAUGUACCAGUGAAGCGAUGUCGAUGAGACCGAAGGUAGAAAAACUGGAUGACGUGAAGAAGACAGACGUUAACAUGUUCAAGAUUUGUGUGUUCGGGGAGUGUGGAGCUGAUGGGGAUGCAGGGCGACCUUCAGGAAUAUUGUGCAGAAUGGCUUCUUUCACAUUGGGCGAUCUGGUUCGGCUGAGAUCUUGAUCCUCUUGUCUUGAAGUGCACAAGUCAAGUUUGCAAGAGCCAAAACAGUGGAAGUUGCAACCCCCGGAUGGAUAAGCUUCUAGAGUCCAGGACUGAAAAGGCUGCUGGGGGAGUGUCACGACUACCAUCUGUUAUUGCUACAGCUAGAUGAGGAGUGGGAAGCCUUCAAAGCCAGUGCUAUCAUCAAAUGAACCAGCUUCCUGCGCCUCCCUAGGACGUUCAACAGCUUCUUGAGUGCACCAUUGGACUAUCUCGUUCUGCUUUCCCAGCCAACACUACUGAGAAGUGAUCCACAAAUGGCCUACUGAAGAGGAUAGAGAAAAUGUCAAAUGAACAGCAUAAAGAUGUGUAUUUAAUGAAAAAAAAGCAUGAAAUGAUAAAAAAAAACUACCUAAAAUGAAAAAAAAAACCUAAAAUGUAGA